rnacentral:snRNA from 1 species
GUGCUCGCUUCAGCAGCACAUAUACUAAAACUGGAACGAUACAGAGAAGAUUAGCAUGGUCCCUGCGCAAGGAUGACAUGCAAAUUCGUGAAGUGUUCCAUAUUAAA